UUUUUUUUUUUUCUUUCCAUAUCAUUUAAAUCUUUCGCCUUUUACUAAGGAUUUCUGUGGAGAGGAACAGAUCCAGUCCUAACACAAUUUUUGAUAUCCUGCCUAUGCAAGGC